rnacentral:lncRNA from 1 species
CAGAUACAGCCGUUCUAAUGACAAGACAAAACGCAGAUCUUGUCAACCCAGAGAGGGGUUGGAUCGUGUGUGUGUGUGGUCGGUCGGUGGCCCGGUGACGUGGCUCGGUGAGUGAAUUACGUGCAUUUUCCCCGUGAGCCCCGGAUCUACAGCACAUUCACGGAAUAAAAACGAUCCGUCUGAACAGAAUGUCCAGCAGAGACGCACUGAAGACAGAUGAAGGUCUGAUGAUGAUGCAGGAGCUGGAGGACCGACUCAAGGAACACACGGAUAAACUGGAGCAUGUGCGUCUGUCUGCCGUGGACCUGAGAAAUGCUCUAUCAGGGAAUAAUGACGGUAUGCAGCAGUGUAUGUCUGAACACAUGGAGUGGCUCGCACAGAUGACCGAUCGCGUGGAGACGCUACAGAUGAACACCACUGUCUUUGUGCAGAUGAGUGCCAAGCCACGCAGCUUUCGGGUCAAACAGCAGGGGCUCAGAAGCACUGGCCGCUGGGGCCGCUGUCAUGUGACCGAUGACGCCCAAUCAGAGUAUGGCUGGUCUCCCGUCCGCACCAGACGCAACAGUGACGCAGCGUCUGAGAUGUCGUGUGCGUGGUAGAAACGCUAAGCUACACUCACAUCGAGAUCGUGUGAUUGUUGCUCUUCAUUUACUGUCAGCGUAACAUUUCCUUUUCCAAAAGUGACCACUGUAAAGGUAGCAUGCUGUUUUUGUGUUUCAUACAGUUUACAGUGUAAUUAAA